CAGGAGUGUUUGUUCCGGCGUUGGUCCACAUCAGCACCCCGGAUCCGAUCUGCGAUGACGCGUCUGACUCUGUGUCACUGGUCUCUCAGCAACAUGUCUGGCUGUGAAUAUGAGCUCUUCACGUCUCCUACCGCCAGCGGCCAACACAUGGAGCGCUGCAGGCGACACUCGGCCCCCACCACCAGCGACAGCGUGCAGAGGCAGGUCAGGGAGCUCUAUGCCACCACCAGGCAAAACCAGGCCCACCUUUUUGCCCCGGGUCCCCUGCUCCAGGAGAAGGAGGAGCAGCCUGACAGCUGUGAAAAACCAGCCUGAAGUUCCCUCCGUAGCGCUUCACCUCCGAUGGCCCCAUCAGUGGGCACACGUGCAGCUUUGAUGUGCCUGAGCGCCCGAGACCCCCACGCUGCGUCCCGCCGAGCCGGGGGGCGGGGAGCGGUGCCGGUCCGAGGGGCUAAGGUGGAGAAGGCCCGGAAGCGGAGAGGCCGAACGCACAGCGUCGCCUCCGUCCGCGGCACGCGGUCGGACCCCCGAGGCCUGGUUUCAUACCAGUCUGGUGCUGCUUUUUCCAUUUUAUCACAGUAAAUGGUGCCUGUGGGCCGCAUACCCACCUCUGCCCGCGGGCGUGGCUGCAUUAUGGGCAGAUGCGGAGAGGGAAAUUGGCUUUUUCCUCCUGCGUGCUGGAGUGAUGCUGAGCCGCUCUCCGUCUGGCUGAAGCCUGCUUUGCGGAGCCAAAUUGAUAGUGGCCGCUGACAUGGUGAGGUCAGAGCCCCAAUGACAAUCCUCUGGCACCCCCUGCUGGUUAAAAGCCUCUGCUUAUUUUGGCCCUGUGCAGCAAACAAACAGCCCAGUUAUUUCACACUCCCGCGGCAUACAUCCAUAAUUCGAUUGUUGAAUGUCGCUGUCUCACUCUGGAAAAACGCAAAUAAAAAUCACAACAACAAAGGCUGACGCGCUUUC
rnacentral:lncRNA from 1 species